rnacentral:rRNA from 1 species
GACGAACGCUGGCGGCGUGCCUAAUACAUGCAAGUUGAGCGCUGAAGGUUGGUACUUGUACCAACUGGAUGAGCAGCGAACGGGUGAGUAACGCGUGGGGAAUCUGCCUUUGAGCGGGGGACAACAUUUGGAAACGAAUGCUAAUACCGCAUAAAAACUUUAAACACAAGUUUGAAGUUUGAAAGAUGCAAUUGCAUCACUCAAAGAGGAUCCCGCGUUGUAUUAGCUAGUUGGUGAGGUAAAGGCUCACCAAGGCGAUGAUACAUAGCCGACCUGAGAGGGUGGUCGGCCACAUUGGGACUGAGACACGGCCCAAACUCCUACGGGAGGCAGCAGUAGGGAAUCUUCGGCAAUAGACGAAAGUCUGACCGAGCAACGCCGCGUGAGUGAAGAAGGUUUUCGGAUCGUAAAACUCUGUUGGUAGAGAAGAACGUUGGUGAGAGUGGAAAGCUCAUCAAGUGACGGUAACUACCCAGAAAGGGACGGCUAACUACGUG